AGACAAACAAACCCCGGGGCUGCAGCGAUGACUGAAGGGAAAGGGAGAUGUUGAUCAAACCAGCGCUCCUGCCCGGGCUUUGAACACCCUUGGAGGUCAAGUUUCAGCACGCAGCGAGGUACAUGCCAACAGAUGGAUUCCAGUAUUUACCCUGUGUGCUGCUGAAGCAGAAUAUUCAUGUGACAAACUCAAAUGGAAUCAGGGUAGAUUUAGGUUAGAAAUUGGGAUGAAAUGCUUUCCCAUGGGGGUGGUGAGGCCCUGGAACAAGUUGUCCAUGGAAAUUGUG